rnacentral:snoRNA from 1 species
AAAUUCAGCAACGCGGAUGCUCUGGAUUUUUUGUUUUGUUUGAGUGGUGGUGUGUUUGUUGUGCGAGUGGUGUGUGCUUGUGCGAGUGAAUGUUUGUGGUUUUGUGUGGGAAUGAGUGUAUGUUUGUUUUAUGUUUGUAAGUCUAGCUACCAAAUAAACUACACGGUGAUCUUAUUUGAUCUGGUCGGGGUUGGCCUUACCCCGAUUCAGAAAUGAUAGUACCCGACAUGCGAGCCGCUGAGGCGAUGAGCAUGAAGCUUCGACAAAAUUCAGGGCCUCCACAAGAAAUUGUGGUCGGAAGUGAUGACUCGAUCAGAUAUACUAGUGCCGGGGAGAGUUUUGUCUCCACACCGGUCAAUGAGUAUAAAUGCGAUUCUGAUCUGC